GAUGAACGCUGGCGGCGUGCCUAAUACAUGCAAGUCGAGCGAAUGGAUUAAGAGCUUGCUCUUAUGAAGUUAGCGGCGGACGGGUGAGUAACACGUGGGUAACCUGCCCAUAAGACUGGGAUAACUCCGGGAAACCGGGGCUAAUACCGGAUAACAUUUUGAACCGCAUGGUUCGAAAUUGAAAGGCGGCUUCGGCUGUCACUUAUGGAUGGACCCGCGUCGCAUUAGCUAGUUGGUGAGGUAACGGCUCACCAAGGCAACGAUGCGUAGCCGACCUGAGGGGGUGAUCGGCCACACUGGGACUGAGACACGGCCCAGACUCCUACGGGAGGCAGCAGGAGGGAAUCUUCCGCAUGGACGAAAGUCUGACGGAGCAACGCCGCGUGAGUGAUAAAGGCUUUCGGGUCGUAAAACUCUGUUGUUAGGGAAGAACAAGUGCUAGUUGAAUAAGCUGGCACCUUGACGGUACCUAACCAGAAAGCCAUGGCUAACUACGUGCCAGCAGCCGCCGUAA
rnacentral:rRNA from 1 species